AGACCGCUCCAGGAACGAGCUAUAGAGCGAUCGCAUACCCCCGCAAGGCCCUCCAGGACUCGCUGACUCCCGGGCAGGGGUCAAGGGUCAGGAAUGGGUCCAGCUGUGCGCCUGGAAAGGACCCAGCGUGCCCACGCUCCCGGCAAGCCAGGACUCAAACAUCCCCAAAGGGCGUCCGGGCUGAUGACGAUAGCUCCCAAUCGCCCUCCAGACGCACACUGGCAGGAACAACCGGAGGGACUUCCCUGACCGACCCCGCGUUUGCUCAGCUUUGAAUUCCCGCUCUGUAGAUCUGUCGCAAUUUAACCAGAAGUCACCCUGGUGAGGGGACAGGUUGGCUUGCCCUGCUGAGUGUGGUUGUUAAGUUCCCGGGGGGGGGGGGGGGGGGGGCUGUGACUCCUUCUAGGGGUUUGUCCCUGGGAUCUGAUACCAGAAUGCCUCAAGGGAAUCUGCCUUAGUCACCCUCGGUGGAGAGUGACCUUUUAAGAGUGCUCAAGGGAUGACUAAGUACGAAUGUGAUGACAUAUACGGAUGAAAAAUGCCAUAAUGAAGCCCAUUACUUAGUAUGCUAACCAAAGGAUAAUUUUAAAAAAGAAAGUAGUUCUAUGGCGGGAAGCGCAUAACAAAAAGGAAAGUGCUUUAAACCUCUCAGCGGUUGUUGCAGAGAUUCUUAAAGAUUGGUUACACGCAGCUCCAGUAAGCGAAAAGUUUACACUGCAGAUGCUCUUCCUAAAUUCACUGGUAACUUUAUCCAAGUUGGGAAGACAGUUCAUUGCUUCUCUUGGCACAAUGUAAUGGCCUUUCAGAUUUUUCUUAAGUCUAGCCUUUUCCUCCAAGGGUGCACGAAGACCUGAUUCUCCCUGUUCCCACUAAAUUGAUUUAUUCUUUGCACCAUAUUAAAAUACAUACACCUCAAAAUAGAUCAUGGUGUAAAUGGAAAGACCUAAAAUUAUAACAGAAGAAAAAAAAAAAAGAAAAGAAAAGAAAAUCUGACCUAUCCAGGGAGAGAUUUCUCAGGUAUGCUAUAAAAGGCAUGUUGCAAAGAGAGAGGAAAAAAAGUCAUACUUUAAUAAUAAAAACUCCCUUCAAAAGACUGAAGUCGUACACUGAGAGAAAAUGUUUGCAAACCAGAAAUUUGACAAAAGACUUGUCAACAGAGCAAACAAACAAACCAAAGGAAGGCUAUCAAGAUGCUGGUAAAGGAACUUGUCACGCAAGUCUGACAACCUGAGUUUAAUCCUGGAACCCAGUUAAAGGUGGAAGAAAAACAACUCCACAGAGGUCUCCCCUGACCACCACAGGCUGGCACACCCACACACACCCCCACACCCCCCACACACACAAACAAAUUAAUAAUAAACUGAAGAUGAAUUCAAAUCUAAUGGAUUCUUAAAUGGAACAAGAAAACAACUCAAUGUGGAAAAAUGUACAAAAGAUUUUGAGUGAUAACAAAUAAGAUAUGCUAAUAACAGAUAAGCAUUUUAAAACUUGUCUAGCUGGGCAGUGGAGGUGCACACCUUUAAUCCCAGCACUCGGGAGGCAGAUGCAGGCAGGUUUCUGAGUUUGAGGCCAGCCUGGUCUACAUAGUGAGUCUUGAACCCCGCCCCCCCCCAAAAAAAAUCUAGAGAAAUGGUUUUCAAAGUUCUUUUUAGAUUAUUUUAUGUGUGUGAAUGUUUCCCUGUCAGUAUGUCUGUGUACCAUAUGUGUUCCUGUGCCCAUGGAGGUCAGAAGACGGUACCAGAAUCUCUGGAACUGGAGUUACAGAUGUUUAUAAGCCACCAUGUGAGUGCUGGGAAUCAAACCUCUGAUAAUCCGGAAACCUAUCCAGUCCUAUACAUCCAGAGCUGGAUUCAUCACCUUCUCUGCCUGCGUGGUAUCUGACUCUGUAUCGGGUAGGUUUGACAUUCCCCCAACCCAGAUAUUAGUCACCCCCACACGUACUGCCAGGUCUUCUCUGUCAGAAACCAUACUGACUAUCACUGUGUUGGUUCAGAUCCUAGCUCUAUUACUCUGUUAGCUUCCCAUCUUGUUCCCUUCAAAUGUAUCUUCACAGAAACCAGGGAGGACUAGUAAAGAUACACCCUAAAAAUAGUAUCCCCCUU
ensembl:processed_transcript A930005H10Rik RIKEN cDNA A930005H10 gene